rnacentral:rRNA from 1 species
GACGAACGCUGGCGGCGUGCUUAACACAUGCAAGUCGAACGGUAAGGCCCUUCGGGGUACACGAGUGGCGAACGGGUGAGUAACACGUGGGUGAUCUGCCCUGCACUUCGGGAUAAGCCUGGGAAACUGGGUCUAAUACCGGAUAGGACCACUGCCUGCAUGGGUGGUGGUGGAAAGCCUUUGCGGUGUGGGAUGGGCCCGCGGCCUAUCAGCUUGUUGGUGGGGUGAUGGCCUACCAAGGCGACGACGGGUAGCCGGCCUGAGAGGGUGACCGGCCACACUGGGACUGAGAUACGGCCCAGACUCCUACGGGAGGCAGCGGUGGGGAAUAUUGCACAAUGGGCGCAAGCCUGAUGCAGCGACGCCGCGUGAGGGAUGACGGCCUUCGGGUUGUAAACCUCUUUCAGCACCGACGAAGCGCAAGUGACGGUAGGUGCAGAAGAAGGACCGGCCAACUACGUGCCAGCCGCCGCGGUAACAC